rfam:Hordeum vulgare subsp. vulgare, WGS project CAJW01000000 data, contig: morex_contig_65187
GAGGUACUUCCUCCGUCCCAAAAUUCUUGUCUUAGAUUUGUCUAGGUAUGAAUGUAUCUAGUCACGUUUUAGUAUCUUGAUACAUCCAUUUCUAGACAAACCUAAGGCAAGAAUUUUGGGACGGAGGGAGUAUUAU